rfam:Homo sapiens chromosome 17, GRCh38 reference primary assembly.
GCCAGGUAUGGUGGCACAUGUCUGUAGUCCUAGCUACUUGGGAGGCUGAGGCAGGAGAAUUGCUUGAACCUAGGAGUCUGAGUACGCAGUGAGCCAUGAUGGUGCCACUGCACUCUAGCCUGGGUGACAAAGUGAGACCCUGUCUCUA